GGGCGCGAGCGUUGUCCGGAAUCACUGGGCGUAAAGGGUGCGUAGGCGGGCCUUUAAGUCAGGGGUGAAAUCCUGGAGCUCAACUCCAGAACUGCCUUUGAUACUGAGGAUCUUGAGUUCGGGAGAGGUGAGUGGAACUGCGAGUGUAGAGGUGAAAUUCGUAGAUAUUCGCAAGAACACCAGUGGCGAAGGCGGCUCACUGGCCCGAUACUGACGCUGAGGCACGAAAGCGUGGGGAGCAAACAGG
rnacentral:rRNA from 1 species